UGACAGCGAUGAUGUGGAAGGUUGCUGACACACCCGGCCCCUUUGCCAUGGCAGGGUGUGGGGAAAUUUUCACGGAGUAUGUCUAUUUUCAAAAUGGACGAUAA
rfam:Bacillus halodurans C-125 DNA, complete genome.